UACGUAGGGGGCUAGCGUUGUCCGGAUUUAUUGGGCGUAAGAGCGCGCAGGCGGUCGUUCAAGUCGCGUGUGAAAGCCCCCCGGCUCAACUGGGGAGGGUCACGCGAUACUGAUCGACUCGAAGGCAGGAGAGGGAAGUGGAAUUCCCGGUGUAGUGGUGAAAUGCGUAGAUAUCGGGAGGAACACCAGUGGCGAAGGCGGCAUCCUGGUCCUGUUCUGACGCUGAGGCGCGAGAGCGUGGGGAGCAAACUGG
rnacentral:rRNA from 1 species